rnacentral:rRNA from 1 species
GAUGAACGCUGGCGGCGUGCCUAAUACAUGCAAGUCGAGCGAACAGACGAGGAGCUUGCUCCUCUGACGUUAGCGGAGGACGGGUGAGUAACACGUGGAUAACCUACCUAUAAGACUGGUAUAACUUCGGGAAACCGGAGAUAAUACCAGAUAAUAUAUUGAACCGCAUGGUUCAAUAGUGAAAGACGGCUUUGCUGUCACUUAUCGCUGGAUCUGCGCCGCAUUAGCUAGUUGGUAAGGUAACGGCUUACCACGGCAACGAUGCGUAGCCGACCUGAGAGGGUGAUCGGCCACACUGGAGCGGAGACAGGGUCAAGACGCCUGCGGGAGGCAGCAGUAGGGAAUCUUACGCAAUGGUCGAGAGUCUUACGGAGCAACGCCGAGUGAGUGAUGAAGGUCCUGGGAUCGUAAAACUCUGUUAUGAGGGAAGAACAAAUGUGUAAGUAACUAUGGACGUCUUGACGGUACCUAAUCAGAAAGCCACGGCUAACUACGUG